rnacentral:rRNA from 1 species
GAUGAACGCUGGCGGCGUGCUUAACACAUGCAAGUCGAACGGAAAGGCUCCUGCUUGCAGGGGUACUCGAGUGGCGAACGGGUGAGUAACACGUGGGUGAUCUGCCCUGCACUUCGGGAUAAGCCUGGGAAACUGGGUCUAAUACCGGAUAGGACCACAUUUUGGAUGGUGUGGUGGAAAGUUUUUCGGGGUGGGAUGAGCUCGCGGCCUAUCAGCUUGUUGGUGGGGUAAUGGCCUACCAAGGCGUCGACGGGUAGCCGGCCUGCGAGGGGGUACGGCCACAUUGGGACUGAGAUACGGCCCAGACUCCUACGGGGGGCAGCAGUGGGGAAUAUUGCACAAUGGGGGCAAGCCUGAUGCAGCGACGCCGCGUGGGGGAUGACGGCCUUCGGGUUGUAAACUCCUUUCGCUAGGGACGAAGCGUUUUUGUGACGGUACCUGGAGAAGAAGCACCGGCUAACUACGUG